GAUGGAGUAGUUUAUUAAAGAAUUUUUAGUUUGCGUCUAAAAGGUGGAUCUUGUCCCUUCGUUA
rnacentral:tRNA from 1 species